rnacentral:rRNA from 1 species
AUUGAACGCUGGCGGCAUGCUUUACACAUGCAAGUCGAACGGUAACAGGCCGCAAGGUGCUGACGAGUGGCGAACGGGUGAGUAAUGCAUCGGAACGUGCCCAGUCGUGGGGGAUAACGCAGCGAAAGCUGUGCUAAUACCGCAUACGAUCUAUGGAUGAAAGCGGGGGACCGUAAGGCAUCGCGCGAUUGGAGCGGCCGAUGUCAGAUUGGGUAGUUGGUGGGGUAAAGGCCUACCAAGCCGACGAUCUGUAGCUGGUCUGAGAGGACGACCCGCCACACUGGGACAGCGACACGGGCCAGGUUCCUGCGGGAGGCAGCAGUGGGGAAUUUGGGAAAAUGGGCGCAAGCCUGAUCCAGGAAUGCCGCGUGCAGGAAGAAGGCCUUCGGGUUGUAAACUGCUUUUGUACGGAACGAAACGGUCUGGGUUAAUACCCCGGGCUAAUGACGGUACCGUAAGAAUAAGCACCGGCUAACUACGUGCCAGCCGCCGCGGUAAAAC